rnacentral:tRNA from 1 species
GCUGGAGUUGUGGCUCAGUGAUAGAGCACUUGCCUAGCAUGUGUGAGGCACUGGGUUCAAUUCCCAGCAUGGCA